AAGGAUAUAUUCGGAACAUCUUCCUUGAGAAGAUGAAGAGGAAYGACAUUGACAUAUUGCAUUCAGUUUUGAAUGCUCAUUACGAGUAUUCAUUGCGUUAUUUUGUACAUUGAAAACUAGAUAUGUAAGUAAAAUUUAUGAUUUUACCAAGCAAAACCGAGUGAAUUAGAGUUUUAAAAAGCUUGAAUUCAAAAAAAUAGAAAUAAUCGCUAGUGUUCGAAAGAACACUCACAGAUUAAUAACAUUUUAGGUUUUCAACCGAUUUUAUCGUGUUGAAGGUCGAAAA
rnacentral:misc_RNA from 1 species